GCACCUCUGCCAUGUACGAUACGGGCCCUUAUUUGUUGACCCUAUGACAUAUCCGCAGGGGACCAUUUCUGGUCGGCAGCGUGUAUAUCCGCUCCCCCUGACCUAGUCAGGAAUGCGGCUCACACAACCCGGUCGUCGGUCCCCCCUUUGUAUUGCGGGUUCACACAAAUCAGCUCGACCGGCAUCCGGUGGAGGUUUA
rnacentral:other from 2 species